GCCGGUGUGGCGGAAUUGGCAGACGCGCUGGACUCAAAAUCCUGUGCCCGUUUAGGGCGUGCCGGUUCGACCCCGGCCACCGGCA
rnacentral:tRNA from 1 species